rnacentral:rRNA from 1 species
CCAGACUCCUACGGGAGGCAGCAGUAGGGAAUCUUCGGCAAUGGACGGAAGUCUGACCGAGCAACGCCGCGUGAGUGAAGAAGGUUUUCGGAUCGUAAAGCUCUGUUGUAAGAGAAGAACGAGUGUGAGAGUGGAAAGUUCACACUGUGACGGUAUCUUACCAGAAAGGGACGGCUAACUACGUGCCAGCAGCCGCGGUAAUACGUAGGUCCCGAGCGUUGUCCGGAUUUAUUGGGCGUAAAGCGAGCGCAGGCGGUUAGAUAAGUCUGAAGUUAAAGGCUGUGGCUUAACCAUAGUACGCUUUGGAAACUGUUUAACUUGAGUGCAAGAGGGGAGAGUGGAAUUCCAUGUGUAGCGGUGAAAUGCGUAGAUAUAUGGAGGAACGCCGGUGGCGAAAGCGGCUCUCUGGCUUGUAACUGACGCUGAGGCUCGAAAGCGUGGGGAGCAAACAGGAUUAGAUACCCUGGUAGUCCACGCCGUAAACGAUGAGUGCUAGGUGUUAGACCCUUUCCGGGGUUUAGUGCCGCAGCUAACGCAUUAAGCACUCCGCCUGGGGAGUACGACCGCAAGGUUGAAACUCAAAGGAAUUGACGGGGGCCCGCACAAG